UGCUAGUCGAACGAUGAAGCCCUUCGGGGUGGAUUAGUGGCGAACGGGUGAGUAACACGUGGGCAAUCUGCCCUUCACUCUGGGACAAGCCCUGGAAACGGGGUCUAAUACCGGAUAAUACUCCUGCCUGCAUGGGCGGGGGUUGAAAGCUCCGGCGGUGAAGGAUGAGCCCGCGGCCUAUCAGCUUGUUGGUGGGGUAAUGGCCCACCAAGGCGACGACGGGUAGCCGGCCUGAGAGGGCGACCGGCCACACUGGGACUGAGACACGGCCCAUACUCCUACGGGAGGCAGCAGUGGGGAAUAUUGCACAAUGGGCGAAAGCCUGAUGCAGCGACGCCGCGUGAGGGAUGACGGCCUUCGGGUUGUAAACCUCUUUCAGCAGGGAAGAAGCGAAAGUGACGGUACCUGCAGAAGAAGCGCCGGCUAACUACGUGCCAGCAGCCGCGGUAAUACGUAGGGCGCAAGCGUUGUCCGGAAUUAUUGGGCGUAAAGAGCUCGUAGGCGGCUUGUCACGUCGGAUGUGAAAGCCCGAGGCUUAACCUCGGGUCUGCAUUCGAUACGGGCUAGCUAGAGUGUGGUAGGGGAGAUCGGAAUUCCUGGUGUAGCGGUGAAAUGCGCAGAUAUCAGGAGGAACACCGGUGGCGAAGGCGGAUCUCUGGGCCAUUACUGACGCUGAGGAGCGAAAGCGUGGGGAGCGAACAGGAUUAGAUACCCUGGUAGUCCACGCCGUAAACGUUGGGAACUAGGUGUUGGCGACAUUCCACGUCGUCGGUGCCGCAGCUAACGCAUUAAGUUCCCCGCCUGGGGAGUACGGCCGCAAGGCUAACACUCAAAGGAAUUGACGGGGGCCCGCACAAGCGGCGGAGCAUGUGGCUUAAUUCGACGCAACGCGAAGAACCUUACCAAGGCUUGACAUAUACCGGAAAGCAUUAGAGAUAGUGCCCCCCUUGUGGUCGGUAUACAGGUGGUGCAUGGCUGUCGUCAGCUCGUGUCGUGAGAUGUUGGGUAAAGUCCC
rnacentral:rRNA from 1 species